ACCCAAAACUAAGCUCUCUCU
rnacentral:miRNA from 1 species